AGAGAAGUAAUAAUGACGCAUGGAUCCCAUGGGAGGGGGGGCAGCUCCCGGGUCCUCAGGGGGAAGUUGAGUGUUGAACAGGAGCCGGGGUCACACUGACCGUGGAAGGUAAAGGGGCGUCAGGAGACAGAGGAUGCAGACAUUAUGAAGUCUGUAGUGAUGAACGAGGCUCGGGACUUUCUCCAAAGUGCGUAGCGUCUGUGUGAGGCACGAUAACCAGCACAGUAGCAUCCAUGUGUGAGUCAGCCAGCAGCCCUGGGCGUGUCCGGUAGCACAUCUUCGUGGGUUUCCACCUGCACAGACACCCCCCCCAUCCAAUUUCCUCACAGGCCGUAAUCCCUUGUCUGACAGGAGACACAAAACCUGCCAAGCCAUGCUCUUUUCAGGGCGUAAGUACUUUCUAUCCCCGCAACUAUUAAUUGAAGUUUUAUGUUCUGUUUGAGUGUGCUUUUCAGGUUACAACAUUAUUUUUUUCUUCAACCAAGGACACAAAUUGAACGGCAGUUGUUGUGGUACAUUACUUAAGGACGUUAGUCUUUACUUACAUGCUGUGUAGGUGAAAAUGCAAGUAAAUGUAUUUUGCCUUGUAAAUGAUUUCCAUAAGAACAGUUUCCAUAAGAACAUGUGUCUAUUCCAUAAAAGGUGAUUAUAAUAAAACUAAAAUCGAUUUGCGCAAUCCAAAA